AUUGAACGCUGGCGGAAUGCUUUACACAUGCAAGUCGAACGGCAGCACGGACUUCGGUCUGGUGGCGAGUGGCGAACGGGUGAGUAAUGUAUCGGAACGUGCCCAGUCGUGGGGGAUAACGUAGUGAAAAUUACGCUAAUACCGCAUACGAUCUAUGGAUGAAAGCGGGGGAUCCCAAGACCUCGCGCGCUUGAAGCGGCCGAUAUCAGAUUAGGUAGUUGGUGGGGUAAAGGCCCACCAAGCCAACGAUCUGUAGCUGGUCUGAGAGGACGACCAGCCACACUGGAACUGAGACACGGUCCAGACUCCUACGGGAGGCAGCAGUGGGGAAUUUUGGACAAUGGGCGAAAGCCUGAUCCAGCCAUUCCGCGUGCAGGAUGAAGGCCCUCGGGUUGUAAACUGCUUUUGUACAGAACGAAAAGGUUUCUACUAAUACUAGGAGCUCAUGACGGUACUGUAAGAAUAAGCACCGGCUAACUACGUGCCAGCAGCCGCCGUAA
rnacentral:rRNA from 1 species